UAAGGAAUAUUGGGCAAUGGACGCAAGUCUGACCCAGCCAUGCCGCGUGAAGGAUGAAUGUCCUAUGGAUUGUAAACUUCUUUUAUGCAGGAAAAAUAUCCCGGUCGUGAACCGGGACUGAUGGUACUGUAUGAAUAAGCAUCGGCUAACUCCGUGCCAGCAGCCGCGGUAAUACGGAGGAUGCAAGCGUUAUCCGGAUUCAUUGGGUUUAAAGGGUGCGCAGGCGGAAUGAUAAGGCAGUGGUGAAAUCUCCCGGCUCAACCGGGAAAAUGCCAUUGAUACUGUCGGUCUUGAGUACAGUUGAAGUGGGGGGAAUGUGUCAUGUAGCGGGGAAAUGCUUAGAUAUGACACAGAACACCGAUAGUGAAGACAGCUCACUAAGCUGUAACUGACGCUCAUGCACGAAAGCGUGGGGAUCAAACA
rnacentral:rRNA from 1 species